rnacentral:rRNA from 1 species
UACGGGGGGAGCAAGCGUUGUUCGGAUUUACUGGGCGUAAAGGGCGCGUAGGCGGUCAGUGCAAGUCAGUUGUGAAAUCUCCGAGCUUAACUCGGAAAGGUCAACUGAUACUGCUCGACUAGAGUGCGGAAGGGGCAACUGGAAUUCUUGGUGUAGCGGUGAAAUGCGUAGAUAAUCAAGAGGAACACCUGCGGCGAAGGCGGGUUGCUGGGCCGACACUGACGCUGAUGCGCGAAAGCUAGGGGAGCGAACGGG